rnacentral:rRNA from 1 species
UGGCGAACGGGUGAGUAACACGUGGGUAAUCUGCCCUGCACUCUGGGAUAAGCCUGGGAAGCUGGGUCUAAUACUGGAUAUGACCUUUCUCCUUAUGGGGUUUGGUGGAAAGUUUUUCGGUGUAGGAUGAGCCCGCGGCCUAUCAGCUUGUUGGUGGGGUGAUGGCCUACCAAGGCGACGACGGGUAGCCGGCCUGAGAGGGUGAUCGGCCACAUUGGGACUGAGAUACGGCCCAG